GACGGAGGGUGCUAGCGUUGUUCGGAAUGACUGGGCGUAAAGGGCGCGUAGGCGGCUCGUGAAGUCGGGUGUGAAAGCCCGGGGCUCAACCCCGGAACGGCAUCCGAUACUGGCGGGCUUGAGACCGGGAGAGGAGGGUGGAAUACCCAGUGUAGAGGUGAAAUUCGUAGAUAUUGGGUGGAACACCGGUGACGAAAGCGGCUCUCUGGCCCGGAUCUGACGCUGAGGCGCGAAAGCGUGGGGAGCAAACAGG
rnacentral:rRNA from 1 species